rfam:Homo sapiens chromosome 4, GRCh38 reference primary assembly.
GGAUGCGAGAGUGAUCUGGCUGCGACACCUGUCAUGCCAUUGAUUGCCAGGGUUGCUUCGGCUAAUCUGGCUGGCUAGGCAGGUGUCCCCUUGCUCUCUCACGACUCCAUGUGCAUCCCUCCGAAAGCUGUGCACCCAGUCAAAGAGGAUGACCAUCCCCAAUAGAGGAGGAUCGGUCUUCGGUCAAGGGUAUAUGAGUAGCUGUGCUGCCCUGCUAGAGCCUCCAAACAAGCUCUCAAGAACCAGGUGGUGGAUUUCCUUUAAAGUAAUUUAACAGAUUAAUAAUUCAACAAGCCAUUAUAGCCAUGUAGGGAUUAAAAGCU